rnacentral:rRNA from 1 species
GUGCAGCAGGCGCGAAAACUCCGCAAUACACGAAAGUGUGACGGGGCCAUCCCGAGUGCCGUCCGCUGAGGACGGCUUUUCCCCAGUGUACACAGCUGGGGGAAUAAGGAGAGGGCAAGCCUGGUGUCAGCCGCCGCGGUAAUACCAGCUCUCCGAGUGGUGGGGACGCUUAUUGGGCCUAAAGCAUCCGUAGCCGGCUGGGCAAGUUCUCCGUUAAAUCCAACGAUUCAAUCGUUGGGCUGCGGGGGAUACUGUCCAGCUUGGGGGGCGGGAGAGGCCGACGGUAUUCCCGGGGUAGGGGUGAAAUCCUAUAAUCCCGGGAGGACCACCAGUGGCGAAGGCUGUCGGCUAGAACGCGCCCGACGGUGAGGGAUGAAAGCUGGGGGAGCGAACCGGAUUAGAUACCCGUGUAGU